rnacentral:tRNA from 1 species
AGAUGUAGCUCAGUGGUAGAGAGCAUGCUUUGAAUGUAGGAAGCCCUGAGUUCAAUCCCCGGCAUCU